CUGCCGGCCCAUCUUCGCGCGUCUUGGAGUCGGGUUGUUUGGGAGCGCAGCCCAAAGUAGGUGGUAAACUUCAUCUAAGACUGAAUAUGACCACGAGUCCGAUAGCGAACAAGUACCGUGAGGGAAAGUUGCAAAGCACUUUGAAGAGAGAGUUAAAGAGGACGUGAAACCGAUGAGGUGGAAACGGACAGAGCUGGCGUAUCUGGCCUGCAUUCAGCCGUGCCCCGCUKGCGUCAGGGAUGCCGCUCUCCAGAUUGGGACGGUGGCCUGUCUGCCGGCGGGUUUGCGGUGCAUUUGCAGGUGGAGUGCGCCGAGGCGCUCGGUGCAGCGGCAUGAGCUUGGCUUUGAGGCCAGCCCCUCACGGGGUCUGGUACCCGGGUCAGGGGAGUGCUGUUUGUGCUGGGCGACAGCCAUGGGCAAUGGACUCGGGCUCGUGUGGGUGCCGAGCUGGAGGUUGGCGUCGGUCGCUUGCGACACGUGCCGGCACUCAGUUCGGUCCUGCUCGAGCUCACAUCUGCCCGUCCUCGGUGUAAAAGCCGGUCAUCUGUCCGACCCGUC
rnacentral:rRNA from 1 species